CGAAAGAGUAAACAUACAUAUAAUACUUUUAUGUAAAGAUUUGAUAGCUUUUACUAUACAUGUGCACGUGUGUUACGUACGUUUGUGAUUGGCAUGUGUCAUUUAUGAGCGAAAAAACGAUAUAAAAUCCCCGUGCACGGCGCAACAUGUUUAGUUUCGGUGUCUUACUCUGAUAUUUGAGUGCUCUCGAUUUGAUUUCUGCUUUUGGUUUUGAGCGAAAUGCUUUGCGAACUUAUGAAAAAUAGCUGCGGUAUCUUCACUGCAUACUUGAUAGUUACUGUUUUAGUGAUGUCGACCUUUAUCACAAUAGCAGAUUCCGAAUCAAAUGUCAUACAAGUUCCUUGGAAGACGUGUCCCGAAGGUCAACUAUUAAAUGCCAUUGGGGAAUGUACUCCAAUCUUUCAAUAAUCUCUACUCGUUUGACUGAAUUAGCCAAUAAAAUGUGUAUCAACGAUAAUGGCGUAUAUAUUUAGUUAGCAGUUACACGCACAAGUGAAUUGGAAUAUGAAUCCGGUUUCGGCUAACUUGUUUAGCCAAGAAAUAUAUCUACGACAAAAACUCACGAAGCGAGAAGAAGUGGUUAGCCAUAAAUGCGCACAUAUUAUUGCAAUUUUUAUUUCUAAUCUUUAUUUUUACAAACUUUUGUAAAGAUUAAGUUUGUGGGAUUAUAUUAAUGAAAUGGCAUAAUGAAUACAAUUUACUUACAAAAUACACACGAUAAAUCUUUUCUGGAAUUCUUUACAAAAAAAAAUAAUAAUAGUAAAAUAAAGUAUAAAUAGUUGGCAUGAUUCAGAAGAAUUUAUCUAUUUUUCAAGAAUAAAGCACAUUGUAUUUUUA